rnacentral:rRNA from 1 species
GAGAGAGACAUGCGCGCAUAUCAAUAAGCGGAGGAAAAGAAACUAACUAGGAUUCCCUCAGUAACGGCGAGUGAAGCGGGAAGAGCUCAAAUUUGAAAUCUUCAAGGUUCUACCUUGACGAAUUGUAGUUUAAAGAAGUGUUUUCUGUUGGAGUUUUGGUAAAAGUUCUUUGGAAUAGGACAUCAUAGAGGGUGAGAAUCCCGUAUUUGACCAUUAUUUCCAGCUUUGUGAUACACUUUCAAAGAGUCGGAUUGUUUGGGAAUGCAGUCCAAAAUGGGUGGUAAAUUUCAUCUAAAGCUAAAUAUUGGCGAGAGACCGAUAGCGAACAAGUACCGUGAGGGAAAGAUGAAAAGAACUUUGAAAAGAGAGUUAAACAGUACGUGAAAUUGUCAAAAGGGAAGCGUUUGACACCAGUGUUGUUUUCUCGAAAAUCAAUUAAAAAAGGCAGGAUUUUGUGUUGUAUUGACUUUAUCAGCUUUCUGCACUCUUUUCUUGUCUUUUUUAAUGCACUUUUCGUUUAACAAGUCAACAUCAAUUUCUUUUGUUGUAAAAGGGUCAUUGGAAGGUGGCUUUCUUUUCGGAGAAAGUGUUUAUAGCCUUUGGCCUCUGCAAUCGGAGAGAUUGAGGUCUGCAGCGUAGAUCCUUCAGGGGUUAGAUACAUUUGUGCUAAGUUAUAGCCUUUCAUAGACAACUUGUUGACUAUGAUCAGUCAUGUAGCUUACUCGCUUAUGCUAUUUUACCUACGCUUAGGAUGUUGAUGUGAUACUGCGAGCA